AUGAGAAGUAAGAUGAUAGUGACGGUCGGCAAGCGUUGGUCCUAUCCUCCAUCUCCAUGAAGCGGAUGCUGGGGAAGGUUUUGAUUUCGCAUGAAUUUGGCUCUACCAUUGGCACGUGAUUGGCCAUGUGCACUUGGGCGGCACCAUGCCAAGAAUGAGAUUCUAUUUUAUCUAUGCCUAUAGGUUGUUCGAUGAAAAGACAUUGGUGCUGCGGCAUUGUUGUUAUAGUGGUCAACAACAGCCUCUAGCUAAGGCAAGAAGGGUUUGAGUGGCAUGUCAGCUCCCUGCUGGUAACCAACAACCAUAUUCUUGGCAUCAAUGCUUUCCAAGUGGGGCUAACAUUUCAAUGGGUACAGAGCAUCCAUUUUUUCUUAUCUUGCUCACAACCUUGCAGGUAAGUUUAGUCAUGACAUAUAUUACCCUUCUAAGAGAGAAUCUUAGAACCAUAUAAAUAAUAACAGGACCAUGUCGAUUUUAAAGUUAUCUUGAUACAUCGUUAUAUAUGGAUUUUUUUCUUUUUUGCUUAGAUCUGAACCAUGUCAUGCCUAGAAAUUAUAUGCAUCUUUCCCAUCGAUCACUGAUGUGACACACAAUAGGCAGCCUAUUUUGCAGUGUAGCAUGGAUGAUUAGCUCCCGCUUGGUUUAAUGUUUGGGUGAUAUCAGUCUUGAAUAAUUAUUGGUUGUAUUAGUCUGCCUACUUACCACUAUUGUUGAUGCUUUACAUGUCUGCCAGAUUGUACAUUAGUUCGAAGAUAAAUAGCAGAUGUCUAGAUUUUCUAUGUAAAGACAACUCUAUAUCGACAGAGGGAGGAUUUUCUUUUCUGGUUCAUAUAUUUAGAUUUUCCUAGAUCUAUUAGCAAAUGUAAUAAUACUUCUUGAAUGGUUAGGUUGGGCGUAUGCACAUAAUUCUUUUACUAGCCUCAUUUUCAAGUUCUUGUUUCUGUGAGAGUUUCUUGAAUGGUAUCAUGUGUCUUUUCUACCUGCAGAUGAUUCAUUAUGAGAGUAAAUAUAAUUGGAUUGCAUUUCUUUCACUACGAACAUGUAUUUCCCUUCUAAUGAUAUUUACAAUAUAUAUACCUCUAUUGUUUCCUUUGU